UUGUUUUGGCAGCACACACACUAAAAUUGGAAUGAUACAGAGGAGAUUAGUUAGCAUAGCUUCUGCUCAAGGAUAACAAGCAAAUUUGGAUUCUAUAUUUAA
ensembl:snRNA U6 U6 spliceosomal RNA